rnacentral:lncRNA from 1 species
GGGAAAGGUGAUGUGAGGCUCCAAGACAAAACCUAAAAAGAAAUAGUUCCCAAGUAACUUAAGUGCAUCAGAAUAAAGUUCAAGAAUAUCAAUAGGAUUCAAAAUAUAUUCGGCACUCAAAAAGUUAAAUUUCACAAAUUAUAUUUUCGCUGUUGGGUUUUCGGUUUUGCUUUUUUUUUGGUACCAGGGACUGAACUCAGGACCUCAUGCUUGCCAGGCAGGUACUGUGCUGCUGAGCUACAUCCUGGGCCCUCACAAAUUAUAUUUUAUAGCUUAACUUACACAUAAGCAUGUAAAAUAGAGACAAGGAAACUAUAUAAACAACUUAAAUUUAAUUGCAAAAUACAGUAUCUGAGGGUAUUUCUCAAGAUAUGCUGAUGAGAUUAACAGACAAGAAACUACAGUCACAUGCUAUUAAUGACAUUUUCAUCAAUAAUAAACCACAUAUACAGUGGUAGUCCCACAACAGUAUUGUGAGUACAUUCAACAAAAAUAACCAGACACAUUUCUCAGAAUACAGCCUCAUCAUUAAAUGACACUUAACUGUACAGAAUAUUAGUAAACUCAGAGAUAGAACAUGAGUAUCCAAAAAGAAAGAAAAAAGCUUUUAAGAAAAAUGAACAGAGUACCAGUGAGUUAUAGUACACAACUCCAGAUAACUGUACACAAAACCAAAGUCCAUAAAGUGGAGAAAAACAUGUAAUGAUUAGAAAUUUUUCAAACUUAAUACAAACAGACCCAACAAGUUUAAGAAAGAAGAAAUAUCACUAAAUGGGCUGGGGAUUUAGCUCAGUGGUUCAUGGAAUUAAAAAAAAAAAAUGUAAAAAGUGGCUACAGGAUAAAAGCAACAUUUAGAACAAGAAUGAUAGCCGACAUCUUUAUGGAAACAAAGUAACUCACAAUUCAAUGGCAUCAUACAUUUAAAGUAUAGAAAGAAAAACAAUCAAUGUAGAAUUGUACAGCCAAGAAAAUAUUUUUAAAAUAUUAAAACUGAAACAAAAACUUAUUCAGCAUGCAAUAAUGAUGGAAUCCAUAACCAGCAGACCUCCAAGAAACAGUACAAAGUUAGUUGAAAUCUGGAUCUACAUAAAAGUAAAGAAUACCGGCAAUUCUAAAUCUUUGGGUUCAUGAGAUACUUUUAUCUUCUUUAAAAUACAACUACUAGGGCUAGAGGUUUAACAGUUAAGUGAUGGAGCAUAACCAGUAUGCAUGAGGCCCUGGGUUCGAUCAAAAAGGAAAAAUACAAGAAUUUAAACAAAACCAAUAUACCCAAUAUAAUGUGGGCAUUUUAACGCAUCUUAAAUGUGACAAAAAAAAAUAGCACAAACUUGGGAGAGGAAAAGAAUGCUAUUAUAAGGUUCUUAUACUAUUUUACUCAAAAUUGGACAAAAUUAACUUUAAAAAGUACAUACAGGGGCUGGGGAUUUAGCUUAGUGGUUCCAUCGCCUGCCUCGCAAGCGCAAGGUCCCAAGUUCGAUCCCCAGUAUCAAAAACAAAAACAAAACAAAAAAUAUAUACACACAAAGCUCUAAAACUACUUGAAAAUUAAAGAAUUAUAGCUAGUAUUCAGCAAAGAAAAUAAAAUGAAAUAUAUAAUGAAAAGUACUCAAUUUGUUCAAAAGAAUAUACAGAGGAAAGAGGGAACAAAAACAGAAAAGAGAAAGGACAAAUAACAAGAUGGCAGGUUUAAACCCAGGAACAUCAAUAAUUACAUUCAGCCAGCAUGGUGGCAUAUGCCUUUAAUCCCAGAACUAUGGGAGGGUAAAGCAGGGGGAUCCCAAAUUCAAGGCCACCCUGGUCAAUUUGGCAACAUAGCAAGACUAUCUCAAAUUUAAAAACACUGUUAGGGCUGAGGAUGUAGCCCAGCUCAGUGCAAAGGUCCUGGGUUCAAUAUUUACUGCUGGAAGAAAAAAAAGACAUUCAAUGUAACUGAUCUAGACACUUCAACUAAAAUGCAGAAAUUUUCACAAUGGAAAAAAAUAUUAGCAAGACCAAAGUAUAUGUUGCCCAGUUUGGAAUAAAAAUAUCAUGCUAAUGCUAAAAAAAUAAAAAAUUAAAAUUAAAAAGCUUUAACUGAUAAUAUUAAAACGAUGUCAAUGCAAAGAACAUUACCAGAAAUAAAAAAGUGUAAUUUAAUAAUGGCAAGUCAACUGAAUAGGAUAUACAGCCUUAAAUAUUUAUAAACCUAAUAAAAAAGCUUAAAUAAGUAAAGCAAAAACAGAGAACUAAAAGAAAAAUAGACAAAUCUGUAAUUGGUUAGAGAUUUCAAGACCGCUUUCAUUAAUUGACAGAAAAAUGAAACAAAACCAGUGAAGAAUAGAAGACAGAGGAUACAUUCUUUUAAAAGUGCACAUGGAACACUUAUUAAAGUAGAUUAUUUGUAGGCCAGAAAACAGAAUUUAAAUGAAUCAAAUCACACAAAAUAUGCUCCAAACCCCAAUGGAAUUCAGUUAAAAAUCAGUAACAGAAAGAUCUUUAGAAAUUCCCAAAGGCCAGGGAUUUAGCUCAGUGGUUCCACCAUAUGCCUCGCAAGCACAAGGUCCCAAGUUCAAUCCCCAGUACCCAAAAAAAAGGAAACUCCCAAAUAUUUGGAUACUAAAUAACACUUAUUUAAAUAACCCAUGGGUCAAAGUCAAAACGUAAGGGAAAAUCAUAAAAAAUUUGAGAUAAACGAAAAUGAAGACACAACAUAUCAAAAUUUGUUAGAAUGGAGGUAAAGCAGGGCUGAAAGGAAAAUUCACAGUACUCAAAAGCCUGUACUAGAAGAGAAAGGUCUUAAGUAAUGACAACUCCUGCUCCCAUUAUAAACUAGGGGGAAAAAAAAGAGCAAACAAAACCCCAGAUAAGCAGAAGAUGUAAUAAAGAGCAAAAAUCAGUAAAAUAAAAAUUAAAAAUGAAAGCAAAAUCUGAUUAUAUGAGAAAAUCAAAUACACUGAUAAUCGUAUUAGACUGACCCAGAUUAAAAAAAAGACACAAGUUAAUAAUACUCAGGAAAUUACCACAGAUCUUACAUGUUGAGAGAUAAGGGAGUAUUAUGAACAACUUCACACCAUUAAAUUCAACAAAUUCCUUUAAAAACACACAACACUCAAACUCACUUCAGAAUAAAUAUAGCUGAACACUGCAGUGGCAGAAACCUAUAAUUCCAUUAUUCAGGAGUCUGAGGCAGGAAGAUCACAUGUUUGAGGCCAGCUUGGGCAACCGAAACUAAGCAAAAUGUUAAUAAGGGAGGAGGGUUGGGAUGCAGCUCAGUGGCAGAGCGCUUGCCUAGCAUACACAAAGCCUGGGUUUAAUUUCCAGUACCACAAAAACUUUAAACAAGAAACAAACCCUAACUCUACUUUUAAUAUUGAAAUUACAACACAGCACAUUCCAAGAUAAGAUUGGCUUUAUUGGAGAAUUUUGCCUGAAAAUGUGACAAAAUUCCUUCAGAAAACUAAAGAUGAGGGAAUGCUGUCCAAUUCACGUUAUCAGGUAUUACCUUUCUAUCAAAAGAAGGAAAACAACAGACCAAUUAAGUUUAAGUAGCAACAUGUUGAAUAUGAAAAGGAGUAGGCUACAGAACAGACGAAAAGGAAAAGCACUUAACUCUAAUACUGUAAUUAUCUUUCUGCCAAGAGUGAUUUUAUCCCACAUAACUACAAUCAUGACUGAAUAAGCACGCAUUAAAGAUACUGCAGAGGAAAUGCACAAUUCGGAGGACUUAGCAAAGCCGUUCAAGGUGAGGUUGAGUCAGGUCAACAUGUGCAAUGAGGAACAAGAAAGAUGUAGUGCUGGUGAAAACAAUGAGUAUCAGGGCAUAUAUUCAGAAUUGUUAACUGAGUGCUUUGUCUGGAACUGGAACAGGAUGAGUUUACGGUGCUGGUAAGAUAUCCAACAUAGUAACAGCUAAUAUUUAGUAAGGUCUGUCAGAUAAAUGGAAAUGCAAGAUGAGUUCAAGAGAAGGAAAUGCAGAAGUAGAGUUCAUGCCUAUAUAACCGAUUGCAUUUACCAACUCUUGUUUUACUACAGCUAUACUACAUUAAGAGAGUAGCAGAAUUUUUUAAAGACUUAACUCCUUUCAGGGAACUUUAGGAUGUUUAUUCCAAGGUAAGAAAGUGUUAAUUACAAAAAUGAAACGUACUAUAAUUAUAGUCCUUGAUUAUGACCAAAUAAUCCUUCAAAGAUAAUGCAACUUUUUAAGAUUCUGGGUGGAUGUCUAUUAUCAAAAGCUGCUGCUACAACCUGGCACCCUUCC